CAUGUCUCAGUACAAGCCAAAUUAAGGUGAAACCGCGAAAGGCUCAUUAAAUCAGUUAUGGUUCCUUAGAUCGUACACACACUUACUUGGAUAACUGUGGUAAUUCUAGAGCUAAUACAUGCAAACAGAGCUCCGACCGGAGACGGGAGGAGCGCUUUUAUUAGAUCAAAACCAAACGGCGGCGUGCGUCUUCGGGCGCGCGUCGCCAUAAUCACUUGAUGAAACUGAAUAACUUUAUGCUGAUCGCACGGUCUCGCACCGGCGACGUAUCUUUCAAAUGUCUGACUUAUCAACUGUCGAUGGUAGGUUCUGCGCCUACCAUGGUUGUAACGGGUAACGGGGAAUCAGGGUUCGAUUCCGGAGAGGGAGCCUGAGAAACGGCUACCACAUCCAAGGAAGGCAGCAGGCGCGCAAAUUACCCACUCCCGGCACGGGGAGGUAGUGACGAAAAAUAACGAUACGGGACUCAUCCGAGGCCCCGUAAUCGGAAUGAGAACACUUUAAAUCCUUUAACGAGGAUCAAUUGGAGGGCAAGUCUGGUGCCAGCAGCCGCGGUAAUUCCAGCUCCAAUAGCGUAUAUUAAAGUUGUUGCGGUUAAAAAGCUCGUAGUCGAAUCUGUGUCGUGCGCCGCCGGUUCAUCGCUCGCGGUGUCAACUGGCGUGUCGCAGGACGUCCUGCCGGGUGGGCUUAGCCGUCGGUCCUCUUCGCGGGGGGCUGGGCGGCGGUCCGACUUUUCAAUCCCACCGCGGUGCUCUUCGCUGAGUGUCGAGGUGGGCCGGCACGUUUACUUUGAACAAAUUAGAGUGCUUAAAGCAGGCUAAAAACUCGCCUGAAUAUUGUGUGCAUGGAAUAAUGGAAUAGGACCUCGGUUCUAUUUUGUUGGUUUUCGGAACUCCGAGGUAAUGAUUAAUAGGAACGGAUGGGGGCAUUCGUAUUGCGACGUUAGAGGUGAAAUUCUUGGAUCGUCGCAAGACGAACUUAAGCGAAAGCAUUUGCCAAAAACGCUUUCAUUGAUCAAGAACGAAAGUUAGAGGUUCGAAGGCGAUCAGAUACCGCCCUAGUUCUAACCAUAAACGAUGCCAGCUAGCGAUCCGCCGACGUUCCUCCGAUGACUCGGCGGGCAGCUUCCGGGAAACCAAAGCUUUUGGGUUCCGGGGGAAGUAUGGUUGCAAAGCUGAAACUUAAAGGAAUUGACGGAAGGGCACCACCAGGAGUGGAGCCUGCGGCUUAAUUUGACUCAACACGGGAAAACUCACCAGGCCCGGACACCGGAAGGAUUGACAGAUUGACAGCUCUUUCUUGAUUCGGUGGGUGGUGGUGCAUGGCCGUUCUUAGUUGGUGGAGCGAUUUGUCUGGUUAAUUCCGAUAACGAACGAGACUCUGGCCUGCUAAAUAGGCGUAAAUUCGACAUCUCAAAGGCCCGCCGGCCCGGCGUUCGCGCGUCGCGGUCGCGCGCGGUUUUUACUGUCGGCGUACAAUUAUAUCUUCUUAGAGGGACAGGCGGCGUCUAGCCGCACGAGAUUGAGCAAUAACAGGUCUGUGAUGCCCUUAGAUGUUCUGGGCCGCACGCGCGCUACACUGAAGGAAUCAGCGUGUCUUCCCUGGCCGAGAGGCCCGGGUAACCCGCUGAACCUCCUUCGUGCUAGGGAUUGGGGCUUGCAAUUAUUCCCCAUGAACGAGGAAUUCCCAGUAAGCGCGAGUCAUAAGCUCGCGUUGAUUACGUCCCUGCCCUUUGUACACACCGCCCGUCGCUACUACCGAUUGAAUGAUUUAGUGAGGUCUUCGGAUUGGUGCGCGUCGGCGUUUCGGCGUCGAGCGAUGUUGCCGAAAAGAUGACCAAACUUGAUCAUUU
rnacentral:rRNA from 1 species